UGGGGGAAAGGCAGAGAAAACACAACACCUUCCUUUGGGAGGGAGGAAUGUGGGAAAUGGGUGGGUCCCCUCGGUUUCGGGGUGGGGGUGAACGGCCAGACAGCCACGACCCCAAAGGACCAGACCAGCUCCGGACCUGCCAAAAAAGACAGCCUGGUGCCCGGGAAAUUUACAAGGUGAAACUGACUAGCUCAGCACUCGCGGGUGGCGCCGAGAAGUAGGAUGGCCGGCGACUCUCUCGGGCGCGGGUUCCGGCUGCGGCAGCAGGUCCCGCAGCUUGGCGGGCAGCACCAGUCCGACGGCUGCUUUGGCCACCAGAUAGAUCAUCUGCAGAGGGAACACCACCAACGCGCCCAGCCGUUUCCACACCAUCCUCCGCGCCGCGGAGCCGGGCAGGGGGGCGAAACUCCCCGGACCGAGCAAAACAGGAAUUAAAAAAGAAAACACCCCAAACAAUAAUAAAUAAACCGAAUUAAGGGGGGAGGCGUCCCACCUGGCCACUCUUGAAAUCACCUCUUCCCAAAUGCAAAACACCGGGUGAG